CACGAGAUUGGGUUAAUUGAGGAGGAAUGGCCAUAUCCUCGAGCUCACGUGGAAAUACAAAAUGUGUCCUUCAACAUCUGUUGACCUUCAGAAUUAGGUUCCUCUACCCUACACUUUUCUUCCGGGAAAGCCAGGAUGUGGCACGUGUCUGCGAGUAUUUAAUGCGGUUGCCAACACCAGAAUCUUCCACUGCACUUGUACUAUCUCUCCAACACCGUCGUCGGACGCUUCGCUUGCCUGUAUCCAUUAGAUUUAGAUUUUUACCGAAAUGUUGGACGGUAUAGUCUCGUUUCUGUGUGCAGCUGAGGGAGCGCUUACACCAUUGCUGGUUAGGCUGCAUCAAACGCGGGACUGAAAAUCGUGUAAUGCUUAAUUAUUAAAAUGUUUACAGUUAUAGCCAAUUGUUACCUCGUUUCUAUUGAUGCUGAAUGAAUGAAUUGUAUUGAUUAUAUACCUGCAAAUACAAAUACUUAGAGAAAUGCUGAAGGGGUGCUGAAU